rnacentral:rRNA from 1 species
GACGAACGCUGGCGGCGUGCCUAACACAUGCAAGUCGAACGGAACUGUUUUGAAAGAUUUCUUCGGAAUGAAUUUGAUUUAGUUUAGUGGCGGACGGGUGAGUAACGCGUGAGUAACCUGCCUUCAAGAGGGGAAUAACAUUCUGAAAAGAAUGCUAAUACCGCAUGACAUAUCGGAACCACAUGGUUUUGAUAUCAAAGAUUUUAUCGCUUGAAGAUGGACUCGUGUCCGAUUAGUUAGUUGGUGAGGUAACGGCUCACCAAGACCGCGAUCGGUAGCCGGACUGAGAGGUUGAACGGCCACAUUGGGACUGAGACACGGCCCAGACUCCUACGGGAGGCAGCAGUGGGGGAUAUUGCGCAAUGGGGGCAACCCUGACGCAGCAACGCCGCGUGAAGGAUGAAGGUUUUCGGAUUGUAAACUUCUUUUAUUAAGGACGAAAAAUGACGGUACUUAAUGAAUAAGCUCCGGCUAACUACGUG